rnacentral:misc_RNA from 1 species
UUUAAAUCUAGAAUAUAAAACUUCAUAAUACAUUAUGAUUUCCAAGUUCACCAUUUUUCUAACCGAAAACCAAAUACUGAAUGGGAAGUAGGAACAGGUGUAAAUACAUGCUAAUAUAAGCAUUUCCAUCCUUAUCAAAACAUCGCUAAAAGUAAGCCACAUCACAAUCGACCAAUAUUCGUGUCAUCUGAAAAGGCAAUGGUGUCAGACUAUUUCACCUUUCUCAUAGUAAGAUGACAGCAAAUCAAACUCGCUGUGUGAUGUGUUGUCCUGUUAACUGUUAUCAUGCAAAACCUCAACCCCACCAGCCCAUAUUUCUAAUAUUUCCAAAAGAAAAUCAUAUAUGCUAGAACAAGUUCCAUAUGAUAACACAAUUAAAUUUAUGAUGAGCAAGAAAAAACAAUCAACCAAAUUCAGUCUAAAAGUCUAUCAUAAUUCAAUCAACGAUACAUUAUAUCAAAUGGAACAAGCAAGGAAAUUUCAUCGAAGCAGCUCAGAUAUAAAUUCAAUGAAACAUGGCAAUGGACCUCCGAUGAACCUUAACUACUUAUCUUAUAAAUUGAUUGUACCUACUUCUUUAUGUAAAUCUUUGCAUUCAAUAAAGCAUUUUUUUAAAUUUUUAUUUCUAAAUAAUCAAUAUUUCUAUUAGCACCCAAGCAAGUAAGCCACAAAACAAAUAGCUAAGAAAAGAGAGAGAGAGAGAGA